rnacentral:rRNA from 1 species
CUACGGGGGGCUCCAGCAGGGAAUAUUGCACAAUGGACGGAAGUCUGAUGCAGCGACGCCGCGUGGAUGAUGAAGGCCCUCGGGUUGUAAAAUCCUUUUCAGGGGGACGAGGAAGGACGGUACCCUUGGAAUAAGCGUCGGCUAACUACGUGCCAGCAGCCGCGGUAAGACGUAGGACGCAAGCGUUAUCCGGAUUUACUGGGUGUAAAGCGUCUGUAGGCGGAAUGGUAAGUUGGACGUGAAAGCUCCGGGCUCAACCCGGAGAGGUCGUUCAAUACUGCCAAACUAGAGGGCAUCAGAGGAGCGUGGAAUUUCCGGUGUAGCGGUAAAAUGCGCAGAUAUCGGAAGGAACACCAAUGGCGAAGGCAGCGCUCUGGGAUGAACCUGACGCUAAGAGACGAAAGCUAGGGGAGCGAACAGGAUUAGAUACCCGCGUAGUC